GCGUCGGGGGCCCGCAGAGCGCCUCCGGAUCGGCGGCCUUUUCCUUGCCCACCGCCGCCUCUUGCAGGCCCCGCCGCCUUUGUCUGCUUCCCGGAGCCACUCACUGGGCGGCGGAGGACGCGGGCCCCGGCGCGGCCAGUGUGUCCCGGCUGCGAGGGCCACGGCAUCCGCGAGUUGCCAAGGUCACGGAGGCUUCGGGGAGCCGUGAGGCCGCUCCUGAGCACCUAUACCUGGCCCUCGGCCCCUUGCAAGAAGUUCAAGUGGGCCGAUGGGGUCCGGUGUCCACCGGUGAGAAACAGCAGCGCACUUUGUGCGAUCCCUGCGAGCCCGCAUGUGUGAUUACCCCCUGUUAAAAGGAUAAAAAGGCAACCUGACAUCCUGUAGGAUUUUUCAGACUUGAAUACAGCAGAGAUACACCAGCAGACAAGAGCCACUACACUUGUUUGCACCGUUCAGCCACAGCAGAGAUAAAAGUCCCAGAGUCACGGCUCUUCCCCAGGUUGCUGGAUUGUUGGCAUGUCCAGGAGACGUGGAUGUGCCACACACAUUGGCUGUGCCCUGUGUGUAGUCAAGUGCUCUGAAAGAAACCCAGGCAACUUCCUUGUCCUGCCUGGCUCAGGAAAUGUGGACACAGAAUCAUGAGGAGCGAGCAGGACAUUGGGGGGUGUGGAGAGAAAAGAGGGCUGACCAACAUGGCCUGCAAAGAUGGUGCAGCACCACUGGACUGCUUUGCUUGCAGUGACAGGAAUGCAAACUGGUGAUGGAUUUUGAUCUGACUGAUCCAGAAGUGCCAUGCCAUGCCAGCCCAUCUGGCUGUGAGCUGCAGUUUUGUCAGUCCAGCAGCCCAAAGCAACUUAGAGGCCUUCCUGUUUGGUGCCUCCUCCCCGACAAUGCAGAGCCCUCUUCAGAGAUGCAGGUCCUUACAGAAGUGACUUCCCCAGUGGAAAAAAUACUGAAUGAAGCAGAGCUGUCCUACUUGUCAUGUUCCUGCUUGACUUGCUGAGGCAUUUUCGAAACUCCUCUGAGCCCUGCACCCACUCUUUUGUAGGGUCCUCAGCACUGUGCAUGUCUCAGUGUGAGCCUCAGUCUCUCUCCCACAAGCUUUCAGUAACAGAAAUGGAAAGCAAAUCCAAGUCUUCGCCCCAUCAGAAACCGCAGCUGCAAAGCUGUCCUACUGUUGCAUAAGCUGCUUUUAUUUUUGAACCUUUAGACCUGUAGCACAUCCUCUACAAAGGUUAAAUUCAAAAUUAGCUGCACAAGCAUAGAAAGGAGAGAGGAAAGUCCGUCUCUUGGCAUACAUUAUAGUCCCCAGCCCCCUCCAAAACAACAUGGAAGUGUCUCUGGUUCAAGGCAGCCUACACAACAGCGAGCUGCAGGAGCUGUAAGCUAUUAUUUUAGUUCCCAAGGAAAGUAAUUACUAUAGCAACCAACACAUCUGAAUGGCUCUUUGGCUGCUACUGAGAUACAAACAACUUGUGCACAAAGGCACAUCAGAAACGUGCUGUGUAAAACGUUCUCGGGGAGCUCUGCUUUUUGUAGAGCUUUAUAAAACGUGCAUAACAGGCUUCUGAGAAAUGACUGCCAGAAUAACAGCAAGCAAUUGUACCAUGCCAUGAUCCCAAAAUAACCUAAUCAAUGGCUCAGUAUAUUUGCCCCUGAAGAGACGAAGCAAAAAAACUGCAGGCUCCAUUUUAAGCCUGUGUGCCGGGAAGUACCCAGCUGAGCUGAAGAUACAUUCAAUAAGCAGACAGUAAAAUGGUGGGGAAACGUCUCCCCUUUUGUUCUGUGUACUGAUGCAAACUCCCAGCAGGCUUCAAGUGCCAGCUCAUCCCUUGGGCUUAUACAGAGUUUGUCAGAAAAAGGGAUUUAAUUACAGCCUUGUAAUGCUGGAGGGUGUAAGAAGUCAUGUCUGCAUUCUUUUCUGUAUCUGUGCAGCAAUCAACCCCCACAGAACCCAUCUCCAGCUGCAGUGCUGGGUACAUCACUGUUGCUAUUACUGAAUAAGGAAGCUUCUUGAGCAACAGCAAACUGUAAUCAUUGGCCAUUGCUUAAGUAUUACAGCAUUUGGAGUGUCUCUGUCACCUUCAAAUCAAAAUGCCACUGGUGUAAUAACAGCUUGAUAGUUUCUGGUACCUGCCUGCAAAGCAGCACCACUUCAUGGUGCUGAGACAAACAGCUUAGAUCCCCUUAGGUCCAAGCAAUCUGGCCCAGGAGUAUUGUCCAAAAUUUCCCCACAGGACACAUAAACACAUGUCACCUGUCUCAAGGAUGGUGAGUAGCAUUAACAUCACACUCCUGCUCCAUUGCACAAGGCAGCUCUGAUGAAAAUGGUGGCUAUGGAUCUGGGUAACAGAGACAGAUAACAGAGAUCUCUGUUACAGAGUUAGAUACUGUAAGGGAGCACAGAGUUAGAUACUAUAAGGGAGUACAACAUGUCCCUUCCCAAAUCUGAACUGCCUUUUAAAAUUAUCUUUUAAUCAGUUGAGUCCUAAAGUCUUGUUCUGGGCCCAGAAUAAACUGAAAAUUACAGCUGGAUUUAACAUAAAGACAAAAUUAAGGAAGGAAAUGUAGUGAUGUAAUUUAUUACAGAAGUGCCCUAUGACCAAACAGAAAAAGGAUCUUGGCAUAGCAGGUUCUGCAUGACAGAGUUUUGGUUGACUGUAGCCUUUUAAGCAAAGUCACUUUAUUUUGGAUUAAAGAAAAACAUCUGAGAAAAGCACAAAAAUAAAGAAUUCCUAAGAAAAUAGCACAAACAUAUAUGAAAUCCAAGGACUCACUUCUGUCUUACAAAAUGGUAGCCACCCUAUAAGCACCAGGAGUUUUCAAACUGCCAAUCCCAGGGAAGUAAAUUCUCCUCUGUAAUUUUUCUCAUUAUAAGUUUGUUUUCUCAUAGUAGCUCCCUCUCA